rnacentral:rRNA from 1 species
AUUGAACGCUGGCGGCAGGCUUAACACAUGCAAGUCGAACGGUAACAUAAAGAAGCUUGCUUCUUUGAUGACGAGUGGCGGACGGGUGAGUAAUGCUUGGGAAUCUAGCUUAUGGAGGGGGACAACUACGGGAAACUGUAGCUAAUACCGCGUAGAAUCGAGAGAUGAAAGUGUGGGACCUUCGGGCCACAUGCCAUAGGAUGAGCCCAAGUGGGAUUAGGUAGUUGGUGAGGUAAAGGCUCACCAAGCCGACGAUCUCUAGCUGGUCUGAGAGGAUGACCAGCCACACUGGGACUGAGACACGGCCCAGACUCCUACGGGAGGCAGCAGUGGGGAAUAUUGCGCAAUGGGGGCAACCCUGACGCAGCCAUGCCGCGUGAAUGAAGAAGGCCUUCGGGUUGUAAAGUUCUUUCGGUAGCGAGGAAGGCAUUUAGUUUAAUAGACUAGGUGAUUGACGUUAACUACAGAAGAAGCACCGGCUAACUCCGUG